rnacentral:rRNA from 1 species
UACGGGGGGGCAAGGCGUUGUUCGGAAUUACUGGGCGUAAAGGGCGCGUAGGCGGUCUAGAUAAGUCAGCUGUGAAAACCUCGGGCGUUAACCCGAGGCCUGCAGUUGAAACUGUUGGCUGGAGUGUGGGAGAGGAGAGUGGAAUUCCAGGUGUAGCGGUGAAAUGCGUAGAUAUCUGGAGGAAUACCGGUGGCGAAGGCGGCAAUCCUGGACCGACAUUGACGCUGAACGGCGAAAGCUAGGGAGCAAACGGG